GAGCUUUCUCACAAAAGCUCAGAAAGGGCGGUUUCUGCUCUUUUCACCAGAGCUCUUGGAACCUGAGCCUGCCUGGAGUUAGUCUAAAGAAGCCUCAGUCCUAGACCUAAGAGGCUAGUUCACUCACACCCUACCAGCUCUUCGUGCCCAGGACAUAUUUGUGUGUGUGUUGAUUUCUGGGUUUGUCUCCAUGGGAGUCUGACAUAAUAGACAGCCUCAGGCACCUACCUCAACCGCUGCACUUCUGAGCACACAUUCCUUAGUGCUAUGACUUGAGGUCUUUCCCUCCAAAGUUCAGUCACAACCCAUUAGCAAUGAGAUGAUGUGGAGUGGCCAAGCCAGCUCUGAGACUGAGGCAGGUUUAAUUUUUUACCAAUCUGCUUUUAUACCAUUUUAACUACAUGCAAGUAUUAAAGUCAGCUCUAGGUUGUGAAACAAGCAAGGCACAAAGUCCUGUGAUCACUCCCUUGAGGUCUCUGUUUUUAAGGGCUUAUCAGGAUGGCCAAAAUAUCUGAGCCUACUUUCCUGUCCUAGCCUCAAAUCAGAUUCUUGCCUGAAGCCUAGUUCUUUGGUCCACCCAAAACUAGAUUCCUGCCUGAGCUUACUUCCUUGCCAUGGUCUAAUGUCAGGUUCCUGCAUGAAGCCCAUUUCCUUGUCCUUGGCCAAUGUCAGACUGCUGCCAAGCAACCCCCAAAGCUAUCCACAGUCGAGCUGUAAAAGAUGUUAGAUUAGUCCAGCAAGAUGGCUCCUCUGGGAAAGGAACUUGCUCCACAGGCGUCGAGACCUGAUUUCCAUCCUCAGAAUCCAGGUAAAGGCAGAAGAGGACCAACUUCACAAGCCUGCCUUGACUGUGGCACAAACCACAUACAUACAUCACACUCAUGCAGUAAUGGGAACCAAGACUUUUUAAGAUGUUAAAUAACACGAUCUUGGGGUUCAUGGUGUGUUCAGAUAUCCCGCAACAGCAAGUCAUUCAGACGAUCAGUGCUGCUCUCUUAGCAGGGGACACUCCUCAAGCAGGACUGGAUUAAUCCAUGGGAGCGAGCAGCUGAGCCGUGAGAAGCCAGAAAGCCUGAUGUGGUCCACCCCUUUCCCUGGAAUCACUCCUUUCCAUGUGGGCUGAAUGCCCACGUGCAGCUGUCUGAUCUCAGGAUUUCUAUCAUCCAGAGUAUUCUCUGGAAGCUCCAGCGGGGUUGGCCCAGCUCCUGGCUUCCUCUCCUGGCAACAGCCUCAGGUCUUUUUGAUGAAUUGAAUGAGAAGUGGAGCCCUCAGGUCCAGUCCUGAUCCUGCAGGUGAGGGGUGAUGGAGGAAGAGGCGGCUCAGGUCAAACACUGACCAUCGACCUAAUGACCACCACUCCAGGGCUCUGCUGGAAAGAAGAGCCCUAGACAGGAUGCCUAAAGUGGGGAGGCGGGGCUG
rnacentral:lncRNA from 1 species